rnacentral:rRNA from 1 species
UACGUAGGGGGCGAGCGUUGUCCGGAAUUAUUGGGCGUAAAGAGCGUGUAGGCGGUUCGGUAAGUCUGCCGUGAAAACCUGGGGCUCAACCCCGGGCGUGCGGUGGAUACUGCCGGGCUAGAGGGUGGUAGAGGCGAGUGGAAUUCCCAGUGUAGCGGUGAAAUGCGUAGAUAUUGGGAGGAACACCAGUGGCGAAGGCGGCUACCUGGACCGGUUCUGACGCUGAUGCGCGAAAGCGUGGGUAGCAAACAGG